rnacentral:rRNA from 1 species
AGAGUUUGAUCAUGGCUCAGAACGAACGCUGGCGGCAGGCCUAACACAUGCAAGUCGAACGCAUGUCUUCGGACAUGAGUGGCAGACGGGUGAGUAACGCGUGGGAACGUACCCUUCGGUUCGGAAUAACCCGGGGAAACUCGGGCUAAUACCGGAUACGUCCGCAAGGAGAAAGAUUUAUCGCCGAAGGAUCGGCCCGCGUCCGAUUAGCUAGUUGGUGGGGUAAUGGCCCACCAAGGCGACGAUCGGUAGCUGGUCUGAGAGGAUGAUCAGCCACACUGGGACUGAGACACGGCCCAGACUCCUACGGGAGGCAGCAGUGGGGAAUAUUGGACAAUGGGCGAAAGCCUGAUCCAGCCAUGCCGCGUGAGUGAAGAAGGCCCUAGGGUUGUAAAGCUCUUUCAGCGGGGAAGAUAAUGACGGUACCCGCAGAAGAAGUCCCGGCUAACUUCGUGCCAGCAGCCGCGGUAAUACGAAGGGGACUAGCGUUGUUCGGAUUUACUGGGCGUAAAGCGCGCGUAGGCGGAUCGCUAAGUCAGGGGUGAAAUCCCAGGGCUCAACCCUGGAACUGCCUUUGAUACUGGCAAUCUGGAGAUCGGGAGAGGUUGGUGGAAUUCCGAGUGUAGAGGUGAAAUUCGUAGAUAUUCGGAGGAACACCAGAAGCGAAGGCGGCCAACUGGCCCGAUACUGACGCUGAGGGCGAAAGCGUGGGGAGCAAACAGGAUUAGAUACCCCAGUAGUCC